AGCAGCCGCGGUAAUUCCAGCUCCAAUAGCGUAUAUUAAAGUUGAUGCAGUUAAAAAGCUCGUAGUUGAAUUUCGGGGUUAGUAGGUUGGUCAUGCCUCUGGUAUGUACUGGUCUCACUGAUUCCUCCUUCCUGAUGAGCCGUAAUGCCAUUAAUUUGGUGUUGCGGGGAAUUUGGACUGUUACUUUGAAAAAAUUUAGAGUGUUUAAAGCAAGCUAACGCUUGAAUACAUUAGCAUGGAAUAAUGAAAUAGGACGUUCGAUCCUAUUUUGUUGGUUUCUAGGAUUGACGUAAUGAUUAAUAGGGAUAGUUGGGGGCAUUAGUAUUCAAUUGUCAGAGGUGAAAUUCUUGGAUUUAUUGAAGACUACUACUGCGAAAGCAUUUGCCAAGGAUGUUUUCAUUAAUCAAGAACGAAAGUUAGGGGAUCGAAGACGAUCAGAUACCGUCGUAGUCUUAACCAUAAACUAUGCCGACUAGGGAUCGGAUGAUGUUAAUUUUUUAAUGACUCAUUCGGCGCCUUA
rnacentral:rRNA from 1 species